GACGAACGCUGGCGGCGUGCUUAACACAUGCAAGUCGAACGAUGAAGAAGAGAAACGCGAACUUCGGUUCAAAUUUCACUUCGGAUUAGUGGCAGACGGGUGAGUAACGCGUGAGCAACCUACCUCUUACAAAGGGAUAGCCUCGGGAAACCGUGAUUAAUACCAUAUGACACAUUCAUAAGGCAUCUUAAGAAUGUUAAAGCUACGGCGGUAAGAGAUGGGCUCGCGUCCCAUUAGCUAGUUGGUGAGGUAACGGCCCACCAAGGCGACGAUGGGUAACCGGCCUGAGAGGGUGAACGGUCACAUUGGAACUGAGACACGGUCCAAACUCCUACGGGAGGCAGCAGUGGGGAAUAUUGCACAAUGGAGGGAACUCUGAUGCAGCGACGCCGCGUGAGCGAUGAAGGAAUUCGUUUCGUAAAGCUCUGUUCUAUGAGAAGAAAAGGACUGUACCAUAGGAGAAAGCCCCGGCUAAAUACGUG
rnacentral:rRNA from 1 species